rnacentral:rRNA from 1 species
UAGGGAAUCUUCGGCAAUGGACGAAAGUCUGACCGAGCAACGCCGCGUGAGUGAAGAAGGUUUUCGGAUCGUAAAACUCUGUUGUUAGAGAAGAACAAGGACGUUAGUAACUGAACGUCCCCUGACGGUAUCUAACCAGAAAGCCACGGCUAACUACGUGCCAGCAGCCGCGGUAAUACGUAGGUGGCAAGCGUUGUCCGGAUUUAUUGGGCGUAAAGCGAGCGCAGGCGGUUUCUUAAGUCUGAUGUGAAAGCCCCCGGCUCAACCGGGGAGGGUCAUUGGAAACUGGGAGACUUGAGUGCAGAAGAGGAGAGUGGAAUUCCAUGUGUAGCGGUGAAAUGCGUAGAUAUAUGGAGGAACACCAGUGGCGAAGGCGGCUCUCUGGUCUGGAACUGACGCUGAGGCUCGAAAGCGUGGGGAGCAAACAGG